AGUAGGAACAAAGAAAUGAUCAUAUAUGUUGGUUAAACCAACAACAAUCUUUUCUUCAGUAGCCUUUUCUAGCAUUGAAUGACAAUUGUGAAGUGCACCUAAAUGGAAACCCUUUUCUAUGUCGAACUGAAUUGAUGACGCUUGAUGCAGGCUGAACAAGUCGAACAUCUCACCGGUUUUGACGUGGAUUGCUACACAGGACAGGACGCGAUGCCAAGGUUAAUUGUCGGCGCGUUGCAGCUUGGAUCUUUUGCAUUGCCGACAUAUUGCUGCUGCUGCAAGUUGUGAUGGUGGAACUCCCUCAUGACUGUGAAGUUAAAAUGGCCUGCCGGCUCCGGAAUGUCAUGUUGUGAGCUGCUAUGGAUUAACCGUUAGCCAAACUUUGGUUAUAAUUAGGUUGGUGUUAUUUGCCUUACUGAAGGAUCUUGGCAUGUUCAUCAUGAUGGCUGAAUACUGAAUGAAGACUGUAAGGCCAUACUUAAUGGAAUAGGAUUGAAAAAAAAAACCUACAUUUAUUUGUAAAAAUACCUUAAAUUGCUCUAAAUGAAAUUGGAUUUGUUAGGCAGGGAAUUUUGAAUGGAACAUUUAUUUGAUUUAUUUGAAUGGUUCAAAUAAAUUGCAACAUUUUGGUAUCCAGGAGGGUCAAGAAACAGUAGAGUUGCACUAAUGCCAUGGCAUGUAGUCUUUGGUACCUAUAUCUAUGAUUUGGCUAUAGUUACAACAACUACUGGUCUUUUAGAAAAGGCUACAUUCCUUCAAACCAACAACGUCAUAUCGCGAUAUUCCAAUGAAGCAAUUCUGGUCAAUGUCUUAGGCAUUUUGAUUGUUGCUUUAGGUGGCUUUGUUAUUCUUGGUCUCGUUAAGCCGACUUUUAAUAAAGCUGAUGUUUUAAGAGGAAAUGAAUGAGUGAGUGAUUGAAUAAUUCAAAAUUGAGAACAUGAACACACUUGAAAGAUGCAUUCUCUUAGGCUGUAAUGGAUUGUUGUAUGAACAAACUCUUGAACAUAUAUAUACACAAGUUUAGUUUUCUUCUCA